rnacentral:rRNA from 1 species
CAUGAACGCUGGCGGCGUGCCUAACACAUGCAAGUCGAGCGAUCUUCUUCGGAAGAGAGCGGCGGACGGGUGAGUAACGCGUGGGUAACCUGCCUCAUACACAUGGAUAACAUACCGAAAGGUAUCUAAUACAAGAUGAUAUAAGAGAUUCGCAUGGAUUUCUUAUCAAAGCUUUUGCGGUAUGAGAUGGACCCGCGUCUGAUUAGCUAGUUGGUAAGGUAAUGGCUUACCAAGGCGACGAUCAGUAGCCGACCUGAGAGGGUGAUCGGCCACAUUGGAACUGAGACACGGUCCAAACUCCUACGGGAGGCAGCAGUGGGGAAUAUUGCACAAUGGGCGAAAGCCUGAUGCAGCAACGCCGCGUGAGCGAUGAAGGCCUUCGGGUCGUAAAGCUCUGUCCUCAAGGAAGAUAAUGACGGUACUUGAGGAGGAAGCCCCGGCUAACUACGUGCCAGCCGCCGCAGUAACAC